rnacentral:rRNA from 1 species
UACGUAGGUGGCAAGCGUUGUCCGGAUUUACUGGGCGUAAAGAGCGCGCAGGCGGUUGAUUAAGUCGAAUGUGAAAGCCCCCGGCUCAACUGGGGAGGGUCAUUCGAUACUGAUCGACUUGAAGGCAGGAGAGGGAAGUGGAAUUCCGGGUGUAGUGGUGAAAUGCGUAGAUAUCCGGAGGAACACCAGUGGCGAAGGCGACUUCCUGGCCUGUUCUUGACGCUGAGGCGCGAAAGCUGGGGGGAGCAAACGGGG